GCAGCAACGCCGCGUGAGGGAUGACGGCCUUCGGGUUGUAAACCUCUUUUAGCAGGGAAGAAGCGAAAGUGACGGUACCUGCAGAAAAAGCGCCGGCUAACUACGUGCCAGCAGCCGCGGUAAUACGUAGGGCGCAAGCGUUAUCCGGAAUUAUUGGGCGUAAAGAGCUCGUAGGCGGUUUGUCGCGUCUGCUGUGAAAUCCGGAGGCUCAACCUCCGGCCUGCAGUGGGUACGGGCAGACUAGAGUGCGGUAGGGGAGAUUGGAAUUCCUGGUGUAGCGGUGGAAUGCGCAGAUAUCAGGAGGAACACCGAUGGCGAAGGCAGAUCUCUGGGCCGUAACUGACGCUGAGGAGCGAAAGGGUGGGGAGCAAACAGGCUUAGAUACCCUGGUAGUCCACCCCGUAAACGUUGGGAACUAGUUGUGGGGUCCAUUCCACGGAUUCCGUGACGCAGCUAACGCAUUAAGUUCCCCGCCUGGG
rnacentral:rRNA from 1 species